rnacentral:rRNA from 1 species
AGCGAACGCUGGCGGCAGGCCUAACACAUGCAAGUCGAACGAACCUUCCGGGGUUUGUGGCGGCUGGGGGUGUAACCGGUGGGAACGUUCCCUUAUGGAUGGCAUAACUCUAGGAAACUUGUGCUAAUAGCAAACGUGCGCUACGGGGGGAUGAUAUAUUGAACUUAGAGCGUCACGCGUCUGAUUAGCUAGUUGGUUGAGGUAUUGGCUCACCAACGCGGCGAUCGGUAGUUGGUCUGGGAGCAAGGUCAGCCACAUUGGGACUGUGACACAGCCCAAACUCCUACGGGAGGGAGCAGAGGGGAAUCGUGCGCAACGGGCGAAAGGCUGACGCAGCCAUGCCGCGUGAAUGAUGAAGGUCGUAGGAAAGUAAAAUUCUUUCAACGGGGACGAUAAUGACGGUACCCAGAGAAGAAGCCCCGGCUAACUUCGUG